rnacentral:rRNA from 1 species
AUUGAACGCUGGCGGCAUGCUUUACACAUGCAAGUCGAACGGUAACAGGUUAAGCUGACGCGUGGCGAACGGGUGAGUAAUGCAUCGGGACGUGCCCGGUCGUGGGGGAUAACGCAGCGAAAGCUGCGCUAAUACCGCAUACGAUCUGAGGAUGAAAGCGGGGGACCGUAAGGCCCCGCGGGAUCGGGGCGGACGAUGUUAGAUUAGGUAGUUGGUGGGGUAAAGGUUCACCAAGCCAACGAUCCGUAGCUGGUCUGAGAGGACGACCAGCCACACUGGGACUGAGACACGGCCCAGACUCCUACGGGAGGCAGCAGUGGGGAAUUUUGGACAAUGGGCGAAAGCCUGAUCCAGCAAUGCUGCGUGCAGGAAGAAGGCCUUCGGGUUGUAAACUGCUGUUGUACGGAGCGAAAAGGUCUCCUCUAAUACAGGGGGCUCAUGACGGUAACGUAAGAAUAAGCACCGGCUAACUACGUGCCAGCCGCCGCCGUAA